UGUUAGGGGAGUUAUGUCCCACACCGGGUGACUUCCACCCUCCUCGCACUUCGCCGGCGUCGCAGUCGCUCCCCGCCUGCAAAAUGUGUCAAAUUUGCUAAGUCUCUACCGCUGCCUGCUACGGUCGAGCGGAGGCUCCCGAAGGGGAAGGAGCUGACCGAAGCCGGCCGGGGACGAGCUGCCCGGGCGGGCGCUCAUCGGAGCGGCCCCGCGGGGCAUAAAAGGAUCUCGCUUCCCGGAACCGCCGUCUUGCCCCACAGCCCCCCCCUCCCAGCCCCCCCCCUCCCGGGACUCCGCGGAGGUGGGCUUGGCGGCGGGGGAAGAAAUACCGCCUUAAAAGACGCUUGAAACCUGAAGGCUGGAGUGUGAAACAUGAGAAUCUGAAAGUGAAACCGACUGGAAGCCAAAAAAGAAACAGAUGAAUGUGUUUCCACUGUCCAAGCUGAGGAAAGCCCCGAAAGCAAACAAACACGUGAAUAAUAAAAUGUGCAAUAGAUUUGGAAUAAACCAUUCCAGCUUCA